rnacentral:misc_RNA from 1 species
GAUGAAGAACGUAGCGAAAUGCGAUAAGUAAUGUGAAUUGCAGAAUUCAGUGAAUCAUCGAAUCUUUGAACGCACAUUGCGCCCCUUGGUAUUCCGAGGGGCAUGCCUGUUCGAGCGUCAUUUCAACCCUCAAGCACAGCUUGGUCUUGGGCUUCGCCGCUAACCCGGCGGGUCUUAAAAUCAGUGGCGGUGCCGUCGGGCCCUGCGCGCAGUAAUCUCUCUCGCUAUAGGGUCCCGGCGGAUGCUGGCAAGUAACCCCCAAUUUUCUAUGGUUGACCUCGGAUCAGGUAGGGAUACCCGCUGAACUUAAGCAUAUCAAUAAGCGGAGGA